rnacentral:sRNA from 2 species
GACACCCAUGCACCCAUCUCGUGCGGCAGGAGCGGGGGACCCAGGUAAGUCGCCGGUCCGGGGCCAAGUCCCGGCCCGGCUAGGGGUGAAGCCGGUUCCGCGUGUGCGGGCCGGCCGGGCACCUCCCAGCCCGAACCCGACAGCUCACCUCGCAGGCGACGGAGAGGACAU